rnacentral:rRNA from 1 species
CCUACGGGGGGCAGCAGUGGGGGAUAUUGCACAAUGGGGGCAACCCUGAUGCAGCGACGCCGCGUGAGCGAUGGAGUACUUCGGUAUGUAAAGCUCUGUCAGCAGGGAAGAGAAUGACGGUACCUGACCAAGAAGCCCCGGCUAACUACGUGCCAGCAGCCGCGGUAAUACGUAGGGGGCAAGCGUUAUCCGGAUUUACUGGGUGUAAAGGGAGCGUAGACGGCUGUGCAAGUCUGAAGUGAAAUGCCGGGGCUCAACCCCGGAACUGCUUUGGAAACUGUACAGCUAGAGUGC